rnacentral:rRNA from 1 species
GGUUUACCUGUGUGACUGCGUACCUUUUGUAUAAUGGGUCAGCGACUUAUAUUCUGUAGCAAGGUUAACCGUAUAGGGGAGCCGGAGGGAAACCGAGUCUUAACCGGGCGUUAAGUUGCAGGGUAUAGACCCGAAACCCGGUGAUCUAGCCAUGGGCAGGUUGAAGGUUGGGUAACACUAACUGGAGGACCGAACCGACUAAUGUUGAAAAAUUAGCGGAUGACCUGUGGCUGGGGGUGAAAGGCCAAUCAAACCGGGAGAUAGCUGGUUCUCCCCGAAAGCUAUUUAGGUAGCGCCUCGUGAACUCAUCUCCGGGGGUAGAGCACUGUUUCGGCUAGGGGGCCAUCCCGGCUUACCAACCCGAUGCAAACUGCGAAUACCGGAGAAUGUUAUCACGGGAGACACACGGCGGGUGCUAACGUCCGUCGUGAAGAGGGAAACAACCCAGACCGCCAGCUAAGGUCCCAAAGUCAUGGUUAAGUGGGAAACGAUGUGGGAAGGCCCAGACAGCCAGGAUGUUGGCUUAGAAGCAGCCAUCAUUUAAAGAAAGCGUAAUAGCUCACUGGUCGAGUCGGCCUGCGCGGAAGAUGUAACGGGGCUAAACCAUGCACCGAAGCUGCGGCAGCGACACUAUGUGUUGUUGGGUAGGGGAGCGUUCUGUAAGCCUGUGAAGGUGUGUCGUGAGGCAUGCUGGAGGUAUCAGAAGUGCGAAUGCUGACAUAAGUAACGAUAAAGCGGGUGAAAAGCCCGCUCGCCGGAAGACCAAGGGUUCCUGUCCAACGUUAAUCGGGGCAGGGUGAGUCGACCCCUAAGGCGAGGCCGAAAGGCGUAGUCGAUGGGAAACAGGUUAAUAUUCCUGUACUUGGUGUUACUGCGAAGGGGGGACGGAGAAGGCUAUGUUGGCCGGGCGACGGUUGUCCCGGUUUAAGCGUGUAGGUGUGUGUUCCAGGUAAAUCCGGUUCACUUUAACACUGAGGCGUGAUGACGAGGCACUACGGUGCUGAAGCAACAAAUGCCCUGCUUCCAGGAAAAGCCUCUAAGCAUCAGGUAACAUCAAAUCGUACCCCAAACCGACACAGGUGGUCAGGUAGAGAAUACCAAGGCGCUUGAGAGAACUCGGGUGAAGGAACUAGGCAAAAUGGUGCCGUAACUUCGGGAGAAGGCACGCUGACAUGUAGGUGAAGUGAUUUACUCA